UGUAAGCGUAUACCAAAGUUGUUGCAGUUAAAACGCUCGUAGUCGGAAUUUGGCAGUUCCGGAUGUGUGCACGUCGUGUGCGCACUUCGCGGGGAUUGCUUUUGUGGUCUUGCGUAGGAUGAGGCACUUUUAUUAGUGAACGUCCUCACGCAACCACUUUUUACUGUGAGAAAAUCAGAGUGCUCAAAGCAGGCAUUUGCCGUGAAUGUAUUAGCAUGGAAUAAUAGAAUAGGACUUGGUUCUAUUUUGUUGGUUUGUUGGGACUGAGUAAUGAUUAAGAGGGACAGUUGGGGGCAUUCGUAUUUCGGUGCUAGAGGUGGAAUUCUUAGAUUACCGAAAGACAAACUGCUGCGAAAGCGCCUGCCAAGGAUGUUUUCAUUGA
rnacentral:rRNA from 1 species